GACGAACGCUGGCGGCGUGCUUAACACAUGCAAGUCGAACGAAGAGCGCUGGCAGCUUGCUUCUAUCCAUCUUAGUGGCGGACGGGUGAGUAACGCGUAAUCAACCUGCCCUUCAGCGGGGGACAACAGUUGGAAACGACUGCUCAUACCGCAUACGCUCUAAUCUCGGCAUCGAGGAUAGAUUAAAGGUGGCCUCUACUUUUCAGCUAUCACUGAAGGUGGUGAUUGCGUCUGAUUAGCUAGUUGGAGGGGUAACGGCCCCCCAAGGCGAGGAUCAGGAGGCGGUCGGGGGGGAUGGAUGGCCACAAUGGGAAGGGGACAGGGCCCAGAGUGCUACGGGUGGGGGCCAGGGGGAAACGUGCGGCAUGGACGGGAGACUUAAGGAACAACGCCGAGGCAGGGAUGACGGCCGUCGGGUUGGAAAGCUCUGUUAUUCGGGGCGAAACGGCUUCCUGCGAAUAGGAAGAAGGAUUGACGGUACCGGAAUAGAAAGCCACGGCUAACUACGUG
rnacentral:rRNA from 1 species